rnacentral:rRNA from 1 species
UACGUAGGGUGCAAGCGUUGUCCGGAAUCAUUGGGCGUAAAGCGCGCGUAGGCGGCCCGAUAAGUCCGCUGUAAAAGUCAACGGCUCAACUGUUGAAAGCCGGUGGAUACUGUCGGGCUAGAGUACGGAAGAGGCAAGUGGAAUUCCUGGUGUAGCGGUGGAAUGCGCAGAUAUCAGGAAGAACACCAACGGCGAAGGCAGCUCGCUAGGACGGUACUGACGCUGAGACGCGAAAGCGUGGGGAGCGAACAGG